CAGCAGCCGCGGGAAUACGAAGGGGGCUAGCGUUGUUCGGAUUUACUGGGCGUAAAGGGCGCGUAGGCGGAUUUGUAAGUCAGGGGUGAAAUCCCGAGGCUCAACCUCGGAACUGCCUUUGAUACUGUGGAUCUUGAGUCCGGGAGAGGUGAGUGGAACUGCGAGUGUAGAGGUGAAAUUCGUAGAUAUUCGCAAGAACACCAGUGGCGAAGGCGGCUCACUGGCCCGGAACUGACGCUGAGGCGCGAAAGCGUGGGGAGCAAACAGGAUUAGAUACCCCCGUAGUCCCUGUCUCUUAUAC
rnacentral:rRNA from 1 species